AUUAUUCCCUAUAUAUUAGAGGAGUACGCGGAUGGGACAUUCAUACUAUUCAAGCAAACAAGCAUGCUUUCUUUAUCCUCUUCAGUGAGAGUGUAGCUGGCAGGACAUAAGUAGUGUUGUCCGUUCUUUCUCUUUUCCAGAUGUAGGUCCUCUCGUUGUUCUGUACAUUUGAACUCCUGCCUUACUUCCAAUGUAUCCUUUGGCACCCCAUAAACAC
rnacentral:lncRNA from 1 species